GUCGCUGCUUCAUGUAAGGAGAGGAAAGUCCGGACAACAUAGAGUACCAUACUUUCUAACAGAAAGGCAUCUAAUGAUGACAGACAGUGCCACAGAAAAUAACCGCCGCAAGGUAAGGGUGAAAAUGUGAGGUAAGAGCUCACAACUUUUGUUGGUGACAACACGAGGGGGUAAACCUUAUGGGUUGAAAGACCAUGUAAACCGAGGCUUGAGGGCUACUCGUCCGAUCUCGGAGGGUGGGUCGAUGGAAAUACUUAGCAAUAAGUAUUCUAGAUAAAUGACAGAAGCUUCACAAGAAGUACAGAAUCCGGCUUAUAGCGUUGCUG
rnacentral:RNase_P_RNA from 1 species